AACGAACGCUGGCGGCAUGCCUAACACAUGCAAGUCGAACGAGACCUUCGGGUUUAGUGGCGAACGGGUGCGUAACGCGUGGGAACCUGCCCUUAGGUUCGGAAUAACUCCCCGAAAGGGGUGCUAAUAACGGGUAAUGUCUUCGGACCAAAGAUUUAUCGCCUUUGGAUGGGCCCGCGUUGGAUUGGCUAGUUGGUAGGGUAAAAGCCUACCAAGGCGACGAUCCAUAGCUGGUCUGAGAGGAUGAUCAGCCACACUGGGACUGAGACACGACCCAGACUCCUACGGGAGGCAGCAGUGGGGAAUAUUGGACAAUGGGCGAAAGCCUGAUCCAGCAAUGCCGCGUGAGUGAUGAAGGCCUUAGGGUUGUAAAGCUCUUUUAACCGGGAUGAUAAUGACAGUACCGGGAGAAUAAGCUCCGGCUAACUCCGUG
rnacentral:rRNA from 1 species